rnacentral:rRNA from 1 species
AUACAUAUGUCCCGAGUGUUACCCGGAAUAAUUGGGUGUAAAGGGUUCGUAGGCGGAUAAGAAAGUUGGACAUGAAAGACCAAGGCUCAACCUUGUGUUUGUAUCCAAAACUCCUUAUCUAGAAUUAGGGAGAGGUAAGCGGAAUUCUAAGUGUAGGGGUGCAAUCCGUAGAUACUUAGAGGAACACCGAAAGCGAAGGCAGCUUACUGGAACUAUAUUGACGCUGAGGAACGAAAGCGUGGGGAGCGAAAAGGAUUAGAUACCCCGGUAGUCC